GAGGAAAAGCUGGCUUUUACAGCCUUGCUUAUACUGAGGUGGUGCAAACUUCCUACAGCUCUGCACGGUGAGAGAACUUCAAGGUCUUAUCUAUGUCUUACUUCAUUUUGCUAAUGAGCCAGUUAAUAUCUAUAGUAACAGUGCCUAUACAGUAGGAGUCACUAUGUACAUCAAAACAGCUACUGUUGGACAUGCAUAGUCAGAAGAGUUAUUUCAUUUAUACUUUACAUAAGACAAUUCACAUGAGUCAAUAUACUUGUUCUAUUGGUCAUAUUAGAGCUCAUUCCAAACUUCCAGGUCCUUUGGCAUCAGGUAAUACUAAAGUUGAUUAUCUUGUUGCAGCCAACCACAGUUGUCUUCAUAUGACUAUGCUCAAGCUUCUUAUUCCUUCAUCAUCAUAAUGCUUCCACUUUGCAUAAGAAACUUUAUAUUACUUGAGAACAACCUCACCAAACUGUUCAUCAAUACCCUCAUUAUGUGGUUCACACUCCAGUUUCACCCACUGGGGAUAAUCCCUAUGGUUUUUGGCCAAAUCAACUGUGGCAGAAUGAUGUACUUCACAUCCCUCAAUUUGGCAAACAGUUUUAUUUAUGUUCAUAUUAUUAUUGAUACUUGUUCUCAUUUUAUUUUUGCCACUGCUCAUACAGGAGAAAAUACUCAUCAAGUUAUUUCUCAUUGCUGAGCUACUUUUGUGAUGCUGGUCUUCCCUGUACAGAUUAAAACUGAUAAUACUCCAGCUUAUAAUAGUUCUUCUUUUCAACAGUUUUUCAUCAAUUUCAUAUGGAUCACUGAACAGGAAUUUCUUAUAAUCCCCAAGGUCAGGCUAUUGUGGAACGAGCUUAUUUUUCCAUUAAAUUACAAUUACAAAAACAAAAAGAGGGGAAUAGAACUCCACAAAAUUGUUUGAAUCAUGCUAUAUUUGUUUUAAAUUUUUAAAAUUAUGACUGUGAAGGUCUCACUGCCACUGAACAACGUAUCUUCCACUGCAACAGCCCCAUUUGGUGAAAAGACCUAUAAACAGGACAAUGGAAAGGAAAAGAUGUGGUGAUAAUGUGAGGUACAGAUAAUGCUUGUAUUUUUCCAGAAAGUGCAAUUAGUCCCAUUUGGGUACCUGAAUGUGCCAUAUGACAUUGACAUGGAGGACCUGGAGCCAAAGUUUAAAUGACUGAAGAUCAGACCAGAAGUGUCAAUUCUUAUCUCCAGUGAGAACAGAAAGCUGAUAAAGAAGAAGAGGAUGGAUAACAGGACUCCAUGAACCCAGAAGGCCAACAUGCUAACAUGGGGAGAAUGAAGAAUCUGACACAUGAAGCUGAUCAGAUAAUAGAACAACAGAAAGGUUGCCAUACCCUCAGAAGAAGAGAAGAUAUCCGGGAACUCCAAAUAAUAGCAAGUCACUUGUGCUUCAAAAAUUUAAAAGGGGGAGAUGUUGGGAGAUGCAAAUUAAUCAUUGCUUUUAAUUAUGCAAUCCUGGAUAGAGACACCUUUUCUGGUAAUCCUUUAGUACCAGGUUGCCAAGGGAAAAACCUAACUGCAGGUGACAUCUGUUGAUAGGGAGAGUUCUGUGCUUAUCAUGAAAUAUACUAGUUCAAAAUCUUUAAAUUCAAAUCCCAGCUGCUCAGAGGUAGAAGAGAUGGGCAUGAACUGAUAAGCCCUAAGUUGUUUUCCUCACAAACUUCUUUCUGUUUUCCUCAAAGAAGACUUUUCGUAGUGAAUCCCUUUGAUGUUUAAAACCUACAAAAUAAACUCAUGGAGCCUU